rnacentral:rRNA from 1 species
AACGAACGCUGGCGGCAGGCCUAACACAUGCAAGUCGAGCGGGUCCUUCGGGACUAGCGGCGGACGGGUUAGUAACGCGUGGGAACGUGCCCAAAGGUACGGAAUAGCCUCGGGAAACUGAGAGUAAUACCGUAUGUGCCCCCUCGGGGGAAAGAUUUAUCGCCUUUGGAUCGGCCCGCGUUGGAUUAGGUAGUUGGUGGGGUAAUGGCCUACCAAGCCGACGAACCAUAGCUGGUUUGAGAGGAUGAUCAGCAACACUGGGACUGAGACACGGCCCAGAAUCCUACGGGAGGCAGCAGUGGGGAAUCUUCAGAAAUGGGGGCAACCCUGAUCUAGCCAUGGCGCGUGGACGAUUAAGGCCUUAGGGUUGUAAAGUCCUUUCAGCUGGGGAGAUAAUGACGGUACCAGCAGAAGAAGCCCCGGCUAACUCCGUGCCAGCCGCCGCAGUAAUAC